rnacentral:rRNA from 1 species
AGCGAACGCUGGCGGCAGGCUUAACACAUGCAAGUCGAGCGGGCGUAGCAAUACGUCAGCGGCAGACGGGUGAGUAACGCGUGGGAACGUACCUUUUGGUUCGGAACAACACAGGGAAACUUGUGCUAAUACCGGAUAAGCCCUUACGGGGAAAGAUUUAUCGCCGAAAGAUCGGCCCGCGUCUGAUUAGCUAGUUGGUGAGGUAACGGCUCACCAAGGCGACGAUCAGUAGCUGGUCUGAGAGGAUGAUCAGCCACAUUGGGACUGAGACACGGCCCAAACUCCUACGGGAGGCAGCAGUGGGAAUAUUGGACAAUGGGCGCAAGCCUGAUCCAGCCAUGCCGCGUGAGUGAUGAAGGCCCUAGGGUUGUAAAGCUCUUUUGUGCGGGAAGAUAAUGACGGUACCGCAAGAAUAAG